CCUACGGGUGGCAGCAGUGAGGAAUAUUGGUCAAUGGACGAGAGUCUGAACCAGCCAAGUAGCGUGAAGGAUGACUGCCCUAUGGGUUGUAAACUUCUUUUAUAUGGGAAUAAAAUGUUCCACGUGUGGGAUUUUGUAUGUACCAUAUGAAUAAGGAUCGGCUAACUCCGUGCCAGCAGCCGCGGUAAUACGGAGGAUCCGAGCGUUAUCCGGAUUUCUUGGGUUUAAAGGGAGCGUAGGUGGAUUGUUAAGUCAGUUGUGAAAGGUUGCGGCUAAACCGUAAAAUUGCAGUUGAAACUGUCAAUCUUGAGAGCAGUAGAGGUGGGCGGAAUUCGUGGUGUAGCGGUGAAAUGCUUAGAUAUCACGAAGAACACCGAUUGCGAAGGCAGCUCACUGGACUACAACUGACACUGAGGCACGAAAGUGUGGGUAGCAAACAGGAUUAGAUACCCUGGUAGUC
rnacentral:rRNA from 1 species